UAAUCUGGUUUAGAGUAAGGUUUAUACU
rnacentral:piRNA from 1 species